rnacentral:piRNA from 1 species
AAAUUUGAUAGCUUGAGACGAGAGAG